rnacentral:rRNA from 1 species
AAAGGAAUAGACGGGGGCCCGCACAAGCAGCGGAGCGUGUGGUUUAAUUCGACGCAACGCGCAACACCUUACCAGGGCUUGACGUCCACCGAACCGGUGUGAAAGCACCGGGUGCCUUCGGGAGCGGUGAGACAGGUGCUGCAUGGCUGUCGUCAGCUCGUGUCGUGAGAUGUUGGGUUAAGUCCCGCAACGAGCGCAACCCUCGUCGCUAGUUACCGUGGUGUGUCUAGCGAGACUGCCGGACCAAACCGGAGGAAGGUGGGGAUGAUGUCAAGUCAGCAUGGCCCUGACGCCCUGGGCGACACACACGCUACAAUGGCCGGGACAGUGGGCUGCCAAGCGGUAACGCGGAGCCAAUCCCCCAAACCCGGUCUCAGUUCAGAUUGAGGGCUGCAACUCGCCCUCAUGAAGGCGGAGUUGCUAGUAACCGCGGAUCAGCACUGCCGCGGUGAAUAUGUUCCCGGGCCUUGUACACACCGCCCGU